GAUGAACGCUGGCGGCGUGCUUAACACAUGCCAGUCGAACGGGAAUUAUUUUAUUGAACCUUCGGUCGAUUUAAUUUAAUUCUAGUGGCGGACGGGUGAGUAACGCGUGGGUAACCUGCCUUAUACAGGGGGAUAACAGUCAGAAAUGGCUGCUAAUACCGCAUAAGCGCACAGAGCUGCAUGGCUCAGUGUGAAAAACUCCGGUGGUAUAAGAUGGACCCGCGUUGGAUUAGCUGGUUGGUGGGGUAACGGCCCACCAAGGCGACGAUCCAUAGCCGGCCUGAGAGGGUGAACGGCCACAUUGGGACUGAGACACGGCCCAGACUCCUACGGGAGGCAGCAGUGGGGAAUAUUGCACAAUGGGGGAAACCCUGAUGCAGCGACGCCGCGUGAAGGAAGAAGUAUCUCGGUAUGUAAACUUCUAUCAGCAGGGAAGAUAGUGACGGUACCUGACUAAGAAGCCCCGGCUAACUACGUG
rnacentral:rRNA from 1 species